UACUGUAUAGUCUAGUGGUAGGAUGACCCGCAUGAUUUGAUUUUCGACCGCGGGAGGCGGAGGUUCGAUUCCUCCUAGUAA